AUUGGCUCCCUUCCCAGGCAGCUUCUGCUAGUGUUUAGGUACUAGUGCAGUGUAGAACCCUUUUCUCAGGCAAAACCUAACAUCUGACCGCACCCUUUUUGCUAUUAAAAAAAAAAAAAAGCUUCUAUUUUUUUCCUCCUGUCGUUAAGAUAAAUUCUCCAGUAGACAACCUCUCCCACUAAUUGUGUAUUAGCAACGUAUUUUAUCUUGAGAGCUUGUACACUGGGCUCUCAACGUGGUGUGGAAGGUAGCCUGUUACAGUGCUGGAUUCAUAAAAGGGCCUUUAUGGUUUGUGAAAGAAUAUCUGUGUGCUUAGGGAGGAAACUUUUUGAUCUGCAGAAAAGCCAGAAGACAUCUAGGACAUCCAUAAAAAUUCAUCAGAGAGCAUUUUACUACUGAGCUGCAAAGGGAAAAACUUAAAAUGGAUAUGAAAAGUGAAGAAAGUGAUCAUAGGAGAAAACCAUUUCAGAUCAACCACCUCAGAAGAGCCAGAUUCCACUUCUGUGGCCAGGACUUUUACAUUAUGGCUGGUCCGAUUGUUUUACCCUGCGUUCUAUGCUACUAAACCUUGGAUCAUUCCUAAAGUGUCUGAUGAUUUGUGAGCCUCAAGUGACUACUCUGUGGAAUCAUCUGUCCUUGCCUUUGAAUUAGCUUUCCCUAGGCCAUGAGUCAACAUUAGUAGUUUAUACAUCCAAAUUGAUGACAAGAGCACCUCAAAGGCAGCAGCCUCAAGGAGCAGCCAUGGCCCCAGACUUGUCGCACGGAUGCAGAAAACUUAAUGGAGGAGGCUGAGGUCAGAAUGGGAAGAGUUUUUAAAAAAUAAAAAGGGGAGCUAAUAUGU
rnacentral:lncRNA from 1 species